CCCUUCGGCAGUCAUGGGAAAUCCCGAGUUGGAAGGAUCACCAAUUCCAACCCCCGGCCCUGCAGGGACACCCCGGAAUUCCCACCCCGCGCAUCCCUGGGAGCGCGGUCCUGGAGCGCCGGCAGCCUUGGGAAUGUCAGCAUUGCCUGGGGAGCCUGGCAACCUUUUCCCAAUAUACCUUUUCCCGAUAAACCGUUUCCCAAUAAACCUUUUCCCAAUAAACCUUUUCCUUAUAAACCUUUCCCAGAUAAACCUUUUCCAGAUGAACCUUUUAUCAUUAAACUUUUUCCCGAUACACCUUUUCCCAAGAAACCUUUUCCAGAUAAACCUUUUCCAGAUAAACCUUUGACCAUUAAACCUUUUCCCAAUAAACCUUUUCCCAUUAAACCUUUUCCCAUUAAACCUUUUCCCAAUAAACCUUUUCCAGACAAAUCUUUUCCCAAUAAACCUUUUCCAGAUAAACCUUUUCCCGACAGACCUUUUCCCAUUAAAACUUUUCCCUUUAAACCUUUUCCCAUUAAACCUUUUCUUGAUAAACCUUUUCCCAAUAAACCUUUUCCCAAUAAACCUUUUCCCAUUAAAACUUUUCCAGAUAAACCUUUUCCCAUUAAAACUUUUCCCAAUAAAACUUUUCCCAUUAAACCUUUUCCCAUUAAACCUUUUCCCAAUAAACCUUUUCCAGAUAAACCUUUUCCCAUUAAACCUUUUCCCAAUAAACCUUUUCCAGAUAAACCUUUUCUCAUUAAACCUUUUCCCAAUAAACCUUUUCCAGAUAAACCUUUUCUCGACAAACCAUUUCCCAUUAAAUCUUUUCCCAUCCAACACACCUUUUCCCAAUUAGACUUGGUAGAUCUUUCCAGACUUUCUACACAAAUUCAAAUCACUCCAACCUGGCACAUUUUGGGCUCUGAUGGCAGCAAAUGGCUCCAAACUCUGCAGCUUUUUUAUCUUUAUACUUAUUUUUAUCCAAUUAACAAUGGACACGUAGAUUAUUUUUCUUAA
rnacentral:lncRNA from 1 species